CAGCAGCCACGGUAAUACAGAGGGUGCGAGCGUUAAUCGGAUUUACUGGGCGUAAAGCGUGCGUAGGCGGCUUUUUAAGUCGGAUGUGAAAUCCCUGAGCUUAACUUAGGAAUUGCAUUCGAUACUGGGAAGCUAGAGUAUGGGAGAGGAUGGUAGAAUUCCAGGUGUAGCGGUGAAAUGCGUAGAGAUCUGGAGGAAUACCGAUGGCGAAGGCAGCCAUCUGGCCUAAUACUGACGCUGAGGUACGAAAGCAUGGGGAGCAAACAGGAUUAGAUACCCGCGUAGUCCCUGUCUCUAUACA
rnacentral:rRNA from 1 species